GACGAACGCUGGCGGCGUGCUUAACACAUGCAAGUCGAACGGAAAGGCCCUGCUUUUGUGGGGUGCUCGAGUGGCGAACGGGUGAGUAACACGUGAGUAACCUGCCCUUGACUUUGGGAUAACUUCAGGAAACUGGGGCUAAUACCGGAUAGGAGCUCCUGCUGCAUGGUGGGGGUUGGAAAGUUUCGGCGGUUGGGGAUGGACUCGCGGCUUAUCAGCUUGUUGGUGGGGUAGUGGCUUACCAAGGCUUUGACGGGUAGCCGGCCUGAGAGGGUGACCGGCCACAUUGGGCCUGAGAUACGGCCCAGACUCCUACGGGAGGCAGCAGUGGGGAAUAUUGCACAAUGGGAGGAAGCCUGAUGCAGCAACGCCGCGUGCGGGAUGACGGCCUUCGGGUUGUAAAACGCUUUCGCCUGUGACGAAGCGUGAGUGACGGUAAUGGGUAAAGAAGCACCGGCUAACUACGUG
rnacentral:rRNA from 1 species